UAGCUCUGGUUUCCCUUCAAAACGCAUAAAUCUUUCGCCUUUUACUAAAGAUUUCCGUGGGGGGGAACAACUCAAUGAGUCUUAAAUUAAUUUUUUCUUAGCCCAUUCACAUGGGCUC
rnacentral:snRNA from 1 species